rnacentral:rRNA from 1 species
GAUGAACGCUAGCUACAGGCUUAACACAUGCAAGUCGCGGGGCAGCAUGGGGGUUGCUUGCAAUCCCCGAUGGCGACCGGCGCACGGGUGAGUAACGCGUAUCCAACCUGCCCUUCACCACGGGAUAACCCGGCGAAAGUCGGACUAAUACCGUAUGUUGUCCAUUGACGGCAUCCGAUUUGGACGAAAGGUUUGGCGGUGAAGGAUGGGGAUGCGUCCGAUUAGCUGGACGGCGGGGUGACGGCCCACCGUGGCGACGAUCGGUAGGGGUUCUGAGAGGAAGGUCCCCCACACUGGAACUGAGACACGGUCCAGACUCCUACGGGAGGCAGCAGUGAGGAAUAUUGGUCAAUGGGCGUAAGCCUGAACCAGCCAAGUAGCGUGCAGGAUGGCGGCCCUAUGGGUUGUAAACUGCUUUUAUGCGGGGAUAAAGUGGCCCACGUGUGGGUUUUUGCAGGUACCGCAUGAAUAAGGACCGGCUAAUUCCGUG